rnacentral:rRNA from 1 species
GAUGAACGCUGGCGGCGUGCCUAAUACAUGCAAGUCGAACGAACAGACGCGGCGCUUGCUCCUCUGACGUUAGCCGCGGACGGGUGAGUCACACGUGGAUCCCCUACCUAUAAGACUGGGAUCACUUCGGGAAACCGGCGCUAAUCCCGGAUAAUCUCUUGCACCGCAUGGUUCAAUAGUGAAAGACGGUUUUGCUGUCACUUAUAGAUGGUUCCGGGCCGCAUUAGAUAGUUGGUAAGGUAACGGCUUACCACGGCAACCAUGCGUAACCGACCUGAGGGGGGGAUAGGCGACAUGGGAGCGGAGACAGCGACAAUGCGCCUAAGGGACGGACCAGUAGGGUAUCGGCCGCAAAGGGCGAAAGCCUGACGGAGCAACGCCGCGUGAGUGGUGAAGGUCUUCGGAGCGUAAAACUCUGUUACUAGGGAAGAACAAAUGUGUAAUGAACUAUGCACGGCUUGACGGUACCUAAUCAGAAAGCCACGGCUAACUACGUG